rnacentral:rRNA from 1 species
AGAGUUUGAUCCUGGCUCANGACNAACGCUGGCGGCGUGCUUAACACNUGCAAGUCGAGCGAGAAAGUUACCUUCGGGUAACGAGUAAAGCGGCGAACGGGUGAGUAACGCGUGAGUAUCUACCUUUAAGUCAGGAAUAACUUCCCGAAAGAGAAGCUAAUGCCUGAUAAUCUCCUUUGGAGCAAAGACGGCUUCGGCCGUUACUUAAAGAUGAGCUCGCGUCCCAUUAGCUAGUUGGUGAGAUAACAGCUCACCAAGGCAACGAUGGGUAGCCGGCCUGAGAGGGCGAUCGGCCACACUGGGACUGAGACACGGCCCAGACUCCUACGGGAGGCUGCAGUGGGGAAUCUUCCGCAAUGAGCGAGAGCUUGACGGAGCAACGCCGCGUGAGUGACGAAGGCCUUCGGGUCGUAAAGCUCUGUCUUUAGGGACGAACAACCAGACUGUGAUAAGCAGUCCGGUAUGACGGUACCUGAUGANGAAGCCCCGGCUAAUUACGUGCCAGCAGCCGCGGUAACACGUAAGGGGCUAGCGUUGUCCGGAAUCACUGGGCGUAAAGGGUACGCAGGCGGUCUAGCAAGUCAGAGGUGAAAGCCAUCGGCUUUAACCGAUGAAGCGCCUUUGAAACUGUUAGACUUGAGGUUAGGAGAGGAAAGCGGAAUUCCCGGUGUAGUGGUGAAAUACGUANAGAUCGGGGAAAAAUACCAAUGGUGAAAACAGCUUUUNUGGCCUANACCUNGANGCUGAGGUACAAAAGCCNAGGNUAUCAAACGGGNANUUANAUACCCCCGGUAGUCCUGGCNUGUAAACNAAUGGGNCCCUGANGUG